AGAAUCAACGCUGGCGGCGUGCCUAACACAUGCAAGUCGCACGAGAAAGCGGGAGCAAUCCUGUGAGUAAAGUGGCGUACGGGUGAGUAACACGUGAAUCAUCUACCUUCGAGUGUGGAAUAACUGAGAGAAAUCUUAGCUAAUACCGCAUAAUACCUACGGGUCAAAGCAGCAAUGCGCUUGAAGAGGAGUUCGCGGCAGAUUAGUUAGUUGGCGGGGUAAUGGCCCACCAAGACGAUGAUCUGUA
rnacentral:rRNA from 1 species